CCUCAUUUGCAGGUUGCCCCCUAAGGAUUCGGUUAGAGGUUGACGUCCAGAGGAAAAUAGUUUUAUCUUCUCAGUACUCACCUUUUCAAACAUUUAAUCUAACAGAAGCGUUUUGUAGUUUGCGUAACGACAAAAGAAAAAAAUAAUAAUACAAAUGGAAAAAUAAAAGUUUGGCAAGCGAAACUUUAAUUCCAAUUUAGUGACAGAAUGACACUUGCAGAGAAACUGAAGUCUACAUUGCAGUUUACGGGAUACCCCGCUGUAGCGGCUUGAGCACGUUGGAUAUGUGAGGAGACGAAGCACAAACAGUGGAUACAAAUUUUAUUCUUGGCUUUUCACAGAUUUUUGUUCGGAAUGGCUAUUUUUAUAAUGAGAACAAUAACACUUGUAGUCAUUACAGGUUUAGCUUUGUGCAGGUAUGCAUGUGCUAACCGGAAUUCUACAAGCAAAGCUGAACUUGAAGAGCUACUUUGUCAUCAGAUGAACAGAAAUUGCUCAGAAGCCAUUGGACUUGCAAAAAGGGGAGGACAUUUUUCAAAAUGUCCCAAAGAAUAUAAAGACUACUGCAUUAAAGGAAAAUGUCGGUAUGUAAUACAGGAGCAACAGCCAGCAUGCAUAUGUGAAGAAGGCUAUAUUGGAUCCAGAUGUGAAUUAAUGGAUUUUUUUAUUCAAAGGGGAGACAAAAAACAGAUUAUAAUUGCAAGUCUUAUAGCAGCUAUGGUGCUGUUGAUAUUUAUUAUAAUAUUUAUUUGCAUAUGUGCACAUCGUCAAAAAUUCUGCCAUAAGAAAAAGAGAAAACCAGAAGAAAGUGUUGAAGAAGAAAAUAAUUUAAAUGCACUUUCCAAAGAUAACAAAGACAGUGUAGCAAUUAAUAUGGAAGGGACUAACAUUGAAAUGGAGACAACUAACAUUGCAUAAUACCAGGGGAGGUGAUUUUGGGAGGAAGACAUCCAUGGGUUUUGAGAAUCUGUGCUUGAAAUCAAGUGGGGCAACAUGAAGAUACCUGCUGGCGGGAUCCAUAUUGUUGAAUGCAGUUGGAUGCAGUUAAUUGACUGUAUUAUGAUGCUUUAAAGUGUUGUAUACUGUAUCAAUAUUUCUAAAUUGCUUAUUUGCAUAUGAUGUCACUAAACUGUUCCUCACCGCAUACCUUUUUUAGUUUCAAUUAUUGUGUGGAAGAUUUGAAACAUAUGAUACAACUUACCUGUAAUUCUUUGCAAGAUUUAUAAUGGAAUUUAGCUGUUCAAUGAAUUCUAGCAAAGACUGAAUUUCUGAGUCUUAACUUUGUUCAUAUUGAAGAUGGAUUUGCCGUUAUAAGUUAUUCAUACUUUCUAUACAUAUUCAGCUUUUUUCUUUUUUGCUAACGAUAAUGAAGUCUGAUUUCUAUUUUGUGAGGAAGAUCAUAUAUUGAUGACAUACUAGCACUAUACUUCAUUUCAAAAGGUAACAGCUGCAUUUUUAAAUUUUAUUGAGUUUUAUUGCAUUUUUUAUUUUACUGUUGCUUUAUUACUAGUGGCACUUAUAUGCAUAAAUUGUAAAUAUGUCUGUAUAAGUAAAGUAGCUGCAGUUGCCUUUAUGAUAUUGACUACCAUGAAUGGCAAGUAAAAAAGGUGUUUUAUUUUAUAAUAUAUAACUGAUAAGUGCUUAAUUAAAUUAGGUACAAUCUUGAGAAAUUGUUUUACUGUAUUUUACUUGUUUAAUGAUUUCUUAAUAUUAUUUUAUAUAUUGUAACUGUAGUGGCUCCAUGAUUACUGUCACUCAGCUAUGCAGUAUUAUUCUUUAAUAUGACCUGAAGUAUACUUUCCAAAUUACAUUUUAUAUUUAUAGAGCUCUUGGUCUAUAUUUUUUCAUCAAGAUUCAUUAUUAACAUUUUAGCUGUGUACUUAAAUGUAUUUUCAUUGUUAAAGGUCAUUAUUAUUAUUAUCAGUAUUAUUUAUAUUAGACUAUUUCAUUAUAAAAGCUAAGAACCAGAGUAGUUUACUUCAUUGAGAAGGUUCAGCCACAUCUCAGUAGGACUUAUAAAUUAAAUUAAAAUUGGAUUAGGUGUAUACAAUUGUAUCAUUCUAUUUUAUUAUAAAAAAUUUGGAAUAUGUAAAAUAUUUUAAGGUCAGUAAGCACUCAUUUUACAUGAUUCUUGUUAGUAUGGUAUUUAUCGCUGUUGCAGUAGGUAUGGCUGAAAAGGUAUAAUUAUCAUAUUUCCAGUAUUCAGAAUAACACAUUUUUACUUCAUAGGAAGGCUUAUUUCAGAUGUAAUAUUUUUAUAAUAAGGUACUAAUAACAACCACUAGCAUAUUUUAAAGUAAAUUUAGAGGCCUGUCUUUAAUUUAGUUCAAAGCUUCAUUAAGCAACAGAACAAAAAAUGAAAGGUUAAAAAUAUUUUUGUCCAGUAAUUACCUAUUAACUGAAGCUGGUAAUACCAGUAAAUAUACCUUUUUUUUUCCUUGUAUAAAACACUUUUUAUUCAAGUCAUUUAAACUGAUAAUUAUCAGAGCAGCUGCCUCCAGAUUAAAACAACAUACAAUGAAUAAACACUGAGAAAUAAUUUGAAUAAUUUUAGAUUUCAAUGUGAAUUAUAUCCGUUAGAGUUUAUAGCUGUGUAGUUCAAUAUUCCUAAUGUUCCUAAUGUUCAUUUUGUGUUGUCAGUUUUAAAACAAUGCUGAUAAUUUAACCAGUACCUUUAAAGAAAUUGAAAUUACAUUUAAUAAUUAUGUUUAAUAUUAUUUUUUAUUGCUUACAGAACAUUUUCACUAAGCUAUUACAGUUUCAUGACUUCACUACAGUCAUUGUUUAAUAAAGGUGAAAGCAUGCUGACUUUAUACUUAAUACUGACUAUUAAUUUGUGCAUUUAAGUUUUUAUGUAGUUCAACUUCUUGUUUGUUCUGCAAAUUUAAAAUUAUAUUAUUUGAACAUGAAUAUAGCACUGAAAGCAGUACAAGAUAGUGGCUUGUUAAGUUUACAUAGUCACAUUUUCACAUUGCACAGAAUUUGGGGUUUUUAUAGCACAAGAUAAUUUGACACACAAAAAAAAAAAAACACAUUUUCUGUACACACUGAUCUAUAGUUUUCAUUUAAAAGACUUACACAAUUUCACUGCGCACUUCAAAUGAUCAUAAAUCAUUGUUAGUUUUACAUUUUAAAAGCAUUACAAAAUAAGAAAGUUUGACUACCUGCUUAACCCAAUCUGUCUCAUGUACAGUGUUCAUUUUAGAUGUAUAGCCAGUAGGUAGGUGAAUGGAAAGGUGUAAAUUAAUUUCAUAAUGUUUAAAAUACUGUUUGCUCUUUGUAAUUAAUAUAUGGAUACAUUCAUAAUUUAAUUGCAUAAUCUAAAAAGUGUAUUAUAUAGUGCAAAUGUGUUGUUUUUUUGCUUUCCACAGACACUACUGUAAUGUGCUCACUAUAUUUUUUUAUAAAGCAAAGAUUUAGUAAUUAUCUUAAGGUUUUAUACCAUAUACUGUAUAUCCCUUAUAUUUUGCCUAAUAAUUGCACUGUAACAUACACAUAUUAAAAUACUGAA